rnacentral:rRNA from 1 species
CACCGCCCGUCACAUCAUGAAAGCCGGUUGUACCCGAAGUCAUCGCGUUAACCGCAAGGGAACAGAUGCCGAAGGUAUGGCUGGUGAUUGGGAUG